rnacentral:rRNA from 1 species
UUGAACGCUGGCGGCAGGCCUAACACAUGCCAGUCGAACGGUAACAGGAAGCAGCUUGCUGCUUCGCUGACGAGUGGCGGACGGGUGAGUAAUGUCUGGGAAGCUGCCUGAUGGAGGGGGAUAACUACUGGAAACGGUAGCUAAUACCGCAUAAUGUCGCAAGACCAAAGAGGGGGACCUUCGGGCCUCUUGCCAUCGGAUGUGCCCAGAUGGGAUUAGCUUGUUGGUGGGGUAACGGCUCACCAAGGCGACGAUCCCUAGCUGGUCUGAGAGGAUGACCAGCCACACUGGAACUGAGACACGGUCCAGACUCCUACGGGAGGCAGCAGUGGGGAAUAUUGCGCAAUGGGCGCAAGCCUGAUGCAGCCAUGCCGCGUGUAUGAAGAAGGCCUUCGGGUUGUAAAGUACUUUCAGCGGGGAGGAAGGGAGUAAAGUUAAUACCUUUGCUCAUUGACGUUACCCGCAGAAGAAGCACCGGCUAACUCCGUG